UACGUAGGUGGCAAGCGUUGUCCGGAAUUAUUGGGCGUAAAGCGCGCGCAGGCGGCCUCUUAAGUCUGAUGUGAAAGCCCCCGGCUCAACCGGGGAGGGCCAUUGGAAACUGGUGGACUCGAGUUUGAGAGAGGUUCGUGGAAUUCCUGGUGUAGGGGUGAAAUCCGUAGAGAUCAGGAGGAACACCGGUGGCGAAGGCGACUCUUUGGCCUAUAACUGACGCUGAGGCGCGAAAGCGUGGGGAGCAAACAGG
rnacentral:misc_RNA from 1 species